AUACCUGUAGCGCAAUGGAUAGUACGUUGGACUUCUGAUUCAAAAGUCGUGGGUUCGAUUCCCACCUGGGAUG